GAAGGCUGGCAAGGCUGGCCGGGCAGAGCCUGCGGCUUCCGUCUCUGUUGCAGCCCGCGUCGAAGGCGAAGAGGUGGCCUCUUCGGCGCCCGGAGUAGCCAUGGAGCCUUCAUCGGAGCAGGAGGCCUGGGAGGUCCUUCCGCCCAGAGGCGAGGGACCGC
rnacentral:SRP_RNA from 8 species